AAAAAGACAAACCCUGAGUUUCCGUGUCCAACGUUUGAUUAUCCGUCUUAUAUGAAAUUUUUUUAUAAUUAGUAUUUUCAUUGUUGUUAGAUGAUAAAACAUAAUUAAUACUUUAUGCGUGACUUAUAUUUUUAUUUUUUUUUCAUAAUUUUUUUAAAUAAGACGGACGGUCAAACAUUGGACAUGAAAACCCAGGGUUUGUCUUUUU
rfam:Oryza barthii chromosome 9, whole genome shotgun sequence.